UCCGAAUACCGUUGACGUGUAUUCCGGCAGUGAGUCGGCGGGGGAUAAGCUCCGUCGUCGAGAGGGAGACAGCCCAGACCGUCGUCUAAGGUCCCGAAGCGUGUGCUAAGUGGGAAAGGAUGUGGAGUCGCAUAGACAGCCAGGAGGUUGGCUCAGAAGCAGCCAUCCUUGAAAGAGUGCGUAACAGCUCACUGGUCUAGUGGUUCCGCGCCGACAAUGUAGCGGGGCUCAAGCACACCACCGAAGACGCGGCAGCAAUCUUCAUGGUUGCUGGGUAGGAGAGCGUCCUGCGAGGGGCGAAGCGGCCGGGUAACCGUGCCGUGGACUUCGUGGGAGUGAGAAUGCAGACAUGAGUAGCGAGAGACGGGUGAGGAUCCCGUCCGCUGGAUGACCAAGGGUUCCGGGGCCACGUUCGUCGUCCCCGGGUGAGUCGGGUCCUAAGGCGAGGCCGACAGGCGUAGUCGAAUGGAUGAACGGGUCGAUAUUCCCGUACCGGCUUUCAGCCGCCAAAACCGAGGCUUGGAGUACUAACCUCCGGGUCCGGGCUUACUGCUCCUUCGGGGGCGGGAUGCCCUGGCCUGUUGGGACCGAUCCUUGUAGUAGGUCAGCGCAGGAGUGACGCAGAAGGGUAGCCGGCCGCGGAGGUGGUCUUCCGUGGUCAAGCACGCAGGGCGUGGGACAGGCAAAUCCGUCCCGCAUGGGUCCGAGGUGCGAUGAUGGGGGCCUUAUGGCCCGAUAUCCGGUGAUCCCGGCUGCCGAGAAAAGCUUCGGCGUCAGGCUCGAAGCCGCCCGUACCCCAAACCGACACUGGUGGUCAGGUAGAGAAUACCAAGGCGAUCGAGCGAAUCCUGGUCAAGGAACUCGGCAAAUCACUCCCGUGCCUUCGGUAUAAGGGAGACCCGCUGGGGUGAACCGGCUAGCCCGGGGAGCUUUGGUGGGUGGCACAGACCAGGGGGUAGCGACUGUUUACCAAAAACACAGGUGCAUGCGAAGGCGAAAGCCGCUGUAUAUGCACUGACGCCUGCCCGGUGCCGGAAGGUUAAGAGGAUCCGUCAAUCCCUUCGGGGACGAAGCGGUGAAUUCAAGCCCCGGUAAACGGCGGUGGUAACUAUAACCAUCCUAAGGUAGCGAAAUUCCUUGUCGGGUAAGUUCCGACCUGCACGAAUGGCGUAACGACUUCCCCACUGUCUCGACCAGGAGCUCGGCGAAAUUGCAGUACGAGUAAAGAUGCUCGUUAAGCGCAGAAGGACGAAAAGACCCCGGGACCUUUACUAUACCUUGGUAUUGGCGUUAGGCGCGGAUUGUGUAGCAUAGGCGGGAGGCUUCGAAGCGUGGGCGCCAGCUCAUGUGGAGCCGCAAGGUGAAAUACCGCUCUGUUCUCGUUUGACGUCUAACCUCGACAAGUCAUCCUUGUCAGGGACAGUGCCUGGCGGGUAGUUUAACUGGGGCGGUUGCCUCCCAAAGAGUAACGGAGGCGCCCAAAGGUCCGCUCAGCCCGGUUGGCAAUCGGGUGGCGAGUGCAAGUGCACAAGCGGGCUUGACUGCGAGGACGACGGUCCGAGCAGGGACGAAAGUCGGAGAUAGUGAUCCGGUGCCGGCGCACGGGCGCGGCAUCGCUCAACGGAUAAAAGGUACCCCGGGGAUAACAGGCUGAUCAUUCCCAAGAGUCCAUAUCGACGGGAUGGUUUGGCACCUCGAUGUCGGCUCGUCGCAUCCUGGGGCUGGAGCAGGUCCCAAGGGUUCGGCUGUUCGCCGAUUAAAGCGGCACGCGAGCUGGGUUCAGAACGUCGUGAGACAGUUUGGUCUCUAUCCUCUGCGCUCGUUGGAAUCCUGAGGAGGCCUGCCCAUAGUACGAGAGGACCUGGGUGGACGAACCUCUGGUAUGCCGGUUGUCGCGCCAGCGGCACGGCCGGUUGGCUACGUUCGGGAGGGAUAACCGCUGAAAGCAUCUAAGCGGGAAGCCUGCUCCAAGAUUAGGAUUCCAUGGAUCUUCGAGAUCCUGUAGCCCGCAUGUUGAACACGUGUUUGAUAGGCCGGAGGUGGAAGUCCCGUGAGGGGUGGAGCCGACCGGUACUAACGGGCGACGGCGACAUAA
rnacentral:rRNA from 1 species